rnacentral:rRNA from 1 species
UACGUAGGGGGCGAGCGUUAUCCGGAAUUAUUGGGCGUAAAGAGCUUGUAGGCGGUUUGUCGCGUCUGCUGUGAAAAUCCGGGGCUCAACCCCGGACUUGCAGUGGGUACGGGCAGACUAGAGUGUGGUAGGGGAGACUGGAAUUCCUGGUGUAGCGGUGAAAUGCGCAGAUAUCAGGAGGAACACCGAUGGCGAAGGCAGGUCUCUGGGCCACUACUGACGCUGAGAAGCGAAAGCAUGGGGAGCGAACAGGAUUAGAUACCCCGGUAGU